UACAGAGGGUGCAAGCGUUGCUCGGAAUUAUUGGGCGUAAAGGGCAGGUAGGUUGUCCUAUUUGUCUGGGGUGAAAUCCCUGAGCUUAACUCAGGAAGUGCCCCAGAAACGGUAGGACUAGAGUCUUAGAGAGGUUCGUGGAAUUCCCAGUGUAGCGGUGAAAUGCGUAGAGAUUGGGAGGAACACCAGAGGCGAAGGCGGCGAACUGGAUAAGCACUGACACUCAACUGCGAAAGCGUGGGGAGCAAACAGGAUUAGAUACCCUGGUAGUCCACGCUGUAAACGAUGGGUACUAGACCUUGUGGGAAUUGACCCCUGCAGAGUCGGAGCUAACGCGAUAAGUACCCCGCCUGGGAAGUACGGUCGCAAGACUAAA
rnacentral:rRNA from 1 species